UUUCGGCUAACUGCGGCUCGCCUUGCAUUGUUGCUUGGUUAGUGGUUGUUUGUUGGGUGGUCUCGGGGAUGCCUACCGUAAAGGUGCAUGAGUGGUGUUUGGUUUGUUACGGGUGGUUGGCUCUUUGCUUGCGCAACAACUUCCACCUGGCUUACCUCUUCAGUAUGCUGUCAACGCUUGUUUGCUAUGACCGUCUUGUGGGUUUCCUGUGUUGCAUUCCUAAUUGCUGGUAUCGUAUGAUGAAUUGAAUUUAUUCGUCUUGCGUCGCGCAAGUGAAGCGAGAUGUACUAGGAAGCGGCCUUUGUAAUCCACUCUUUCGAUCUUGAUCGCAUUGAUUUUGUGGCUCACUGAGUGUUGCUUGGCCUCAUUGAUAUGGAACGCUUGCGUGGGCAUGGGAUCUUUUAUUAGUUCCUUGUUUGCCCUAGUUAAGCUUUUCUAAAACGAUUUCUUAUCACGUUUCGGCGUGGUAGGCUUAUCGAAUAUGAAUG
rnacentral:misc_RNA from 1 species